rnacentral:lncRNA from 1 species
UUCGUGGUGCAAUGUGAUUGUUGUAUGUAUGCUACUUAAGGGGCAACUGUGUAGGGCUAUAGUAGGAUUCACUUUGUUGUAUCCAUUGGAUUGUUAGGUGAUAAAAAGGUGGGCGAUGUUGAAGAUGUUAAUGUUAAGGUGGUGUUUGGUAAGAGUGAAAAGCAUCUAGUUUGAAACAAGUAGAAGAUGAGUUAAACAUACUGAGAAUAUAAAAAGUGAUAUUCCGACUACAAUGGACUUUUCUGCUAAGGUGUUGCUCUUUCAGAAUGUCGUAGUGCAGUUAGAUUUGUCUAUCUUUCUUCUGUCUAGCUUGCUGCAUGCCUUUAGACAAAUAUUCCUUUAUUCUGGUUAUGUGAAGUUGAAAGAUGAAGUGAUUAUUAGCGGUCCUAUUCUUACUGAGGCUUAGCAGGAAGCAUAUCUGCUGAGUUUGCUAAAAUUGCUUAGAAUUGCAGGAGCAAACUGAACGAAGAAAAAGAAAUUAGGUAGGCUGUCAAUAUCUGUCCGAGAAUAUUCCUUGUUGAUACUAAUA